rnacentral:rRNA from 1 species
UGGGGAAUUUUGGACAAUGGGGGAAACCCUGAUCCAGCCAUCCCGCGUGUGCGAUGAAGGCCUUCGGGUUGUAAAGCACUUUUGGCAGGAAAGAAACGUCGCGGGUUAAUACCCCGCGAAACUGACGGUACCUGCAGAAUAAGCACCGGCUAACUACGUGCCAGCAGCCGCGGUAAUACGUAGGGUGCAAGCGUUAAUCGGAAUUACUGGGCGUAAAGCGUGCGCAGGCGGUUCGGAAAGAAAGAUGUGAAAUCCCAGAGCUUAACUUUGGAACUGCAUUUUUAGCUACCGGGCUAGAGUGUGUCAGAGGGAGGUGGAAUUCCGCGUGUAGCAGUGAAAUGCGUAGAUAUGCGGAGGAACACCGAUGGCGAAGGCAGCCUCCUGGGAUAACACUGACGCUCAUGCACGAAAGCGUGGGGAGCAAACAGGAUUAGAUACCCUGGUAGUCCACGCCCUAAACGAUGUCAACUAGCUGUUGGGGCCUUCGGGCCUUGGUAGCGCAGCUAACGCGUGAAGUUGACCGCCUGGGGAGUACGGUCGCAAGAUUAAAACUUAAAGGAAUUGACGGGGGUGC